rnacentral:rRNA from 1 species
ACGCUCGACACCUACGGGGGGCAGCAGUGAGGAAUAUUGGUCAAUGGGCGCUAGCCUGAACCAGCCAAGUAGCGUGAAGGAUGAAGGCUCUAUGGGUCGUAAACUUCUUUUAUAUAAGAAUAAAGUGCAGUAUGUAUACUGUUUUGUAUGUAUUAUAUGAAUAAGGAUCGGCUAACUCCGUCCAGCAGCCGCGGUAAUCUGAGCGGGCUGGCAAGGC